CUUCCAGUAGCACCUUAGAAACCAACUAAGUUUGUUACUGGUAUGAGACAAAUUUAGUUGGUCUCUAAGGUGCUACUGGAAG